UACGAAGGGGGCUAGCGUUGUUCGGAAUUAGCUGGGCGUAAGCGCGCGUAGGCGGCUACUUAAGUCGGAUGUGAAAGCCCCUGGCUCAACUGGGGAAGUGCACCCGAACUGAGUGGCUUGAGUGCGAAAGAGGGUCGCGGAAUUCCCGGUGUGAGAGGUGAAAUUCGUAGAUAUCGGGAGGAACACCGGUGGCGAAGGCAGCCAUCUGGACCGACCACUGACG
rnacentral:rRNA from 1 species